CACGUAGGGUGCGAGCGUUGUCCGGAAUUAUUGGGCGUAAAGAGCUCGUAGGCGGUGUGUCGCGUCGGCCGUGAAAAACUUGCAGCUUAACUGUGGGCGUGCGGUCGAUACGGGGCAUCACUGGAGUUUCGGCAGGGGGAGACUGGAAUUCCUGGUGUAGCGGUGAAAAUGCGCAGAUAUCAGGGAGGGAAACACCCGGUG
rnacentral:rRNA from 1 species